rnacentral:rRNA from 1 species
UCGGGAUAACAACCUGGAAACAGAUGCUAAUACCGGAUAACAACAGAUGAUGCCUAUCAACUGUUUAAAAGAUGGUUCUGCUAUCACUCUUGGAUGGACCUGCGGUGCAUUAGCUAGUUGGUAGGGUAACGGCCUACCAAGGCGAUGAUGCAUAGCCGAGUUGAGAGACUGAUCGGCCACAUUGGGACUGAGACACGGCCCAAACUCCUACGGGAGGCAGCAGCC